UGCCAGCAGCCGCGGUAAUACGUAGGUGGCAAGCGUUGUCCGGAUUUACUGGGCGUAAAGAGCGCGCAGGCGGUCGUUCAAGUCGCGUGUGAAAGCCCCCGGCUCAACUGGGGAGGGUCACGCGAUACUGAUCGACUCGAAGGCAGGAGAGGGUAGUGGAAUUCCCGGUGUAGUGGUGAAAUGCGUAGAUAUCGGGAGGAACACCAGUGGCGAAGGCGACUACCUGGCCUGUUCUUGACGCUGAGGCGCGAAAGCUAGGGGAGCAAACGGGAUUAGAUA
rnacentral:rRNA from 1 species